rnacentral:ncRNA from 1 species
AAUAAGACGGAAAGACCCCAAGAGCUUUAUAAAAUAUUUUAUUUACUUGGGGCAAGGGCAUAUUUUUUAUAUGCUUUUUGAUCCUUUUGGAUUAAAGAAGUAAGUUACCUUGGGGAUAACUAGGUAAGAAAUGAAGAGAGUUCCUAUCGAUUCAUUUAUUUGCCAUCUCGAUGUUGACUUAGGGUAAAUAUGAUGGCGCAGAAGUUUUCAUAUUAGGUCUGUUCGACCUUAGAGCCUUUCAUGAGUUGAGUUAAGACCGGCGUGAGCCAGGUCGGUUCUUAUCUAUU